AAAUAAACAGGUUGUAGGCUUGAAGUUUGCAUUUAUAGAUGGUCCAUUAUUGUGAAAAGUCGUUUAAAAAAAAAAGAUCGAAAAAACUUGCACUUGAUUUUCUUUUUUUCCCUUUUUUUUAUUAUUUUGCAGUAAACCUGUUCAAUAACCACCAAAGGUGAAAAGGACUUAGCAAAAUAAAAUAGGCCUACAGAGUUUUUGUUUAUUUUUAAAAAGAAAGAAAGGGCGCCAGAAUUCAAACUGAUUGUUUGAAUCUUGACGAGGCGUCCAAUCAGCGCCUUGCACUUGGCUCCGCUACCAGUGGACGAAGCAACGAACGGUUACGGCAGCAGCACCACAACGUCGAAACUUUCUCUACUCUCAUUUUGGAUUUUGCUCAUUUUCAGCAUCUUACUACGGGGGAUGACCCAAUUUCUUGCGGACCAGAAAGAACCCCUGAAAGCUACAAGUCAGCAGUGGAUCAGUUACAAGCUGAAGGCGUGGCGGAUGUUCAUGGAAUAAAGUUCAGAUAUGGCUGAAUCAGAGAUACAGACGAUAAGUAGUGCAAUUGCUGCAGUGCUUCCAGACCUUCCUCAAGCAGUUCUUAGUUCAGUGGAAGAUACAUUGAAGGGAUUUGGUGCUGAGACCAUAGAUGAUCUGCAGUACAUUACAGAAGGAGACUUGCUGCCAGUGUUGAAGCCAGUCCAAGCCAGAAGACUUGUUGCUGCUUGGGCCCAGAACAACUCAAGCACUACAACUGCAGCAUUUUCCUCUCCACUGUCCGUCUGUUCCUCUCCACCUUCAGUCUCUCCCUCACCAUCAUCCUCCUCAAUCACCUCAUCCCCCUCAGUUUCAGACUGAGCUGGGCCAUUUGGAUGGUUGCUCACAAGACCUUGUAAAGAUGGUACUUCUUUUACUGGCUCAUUUUGGUGAGAAGGAGGAGAACCUGCUCCAAUACGUUGAGGAGACAUGCCUGGCCCAAGAGGUUCAGAUAGAGAAGUUGCCGGCAACACCCUGCAUAAUUGUGUGUGGGUCCUGUUGCUUUUCUGCUGACACAUUCAUGUUGAGCAUUGACCAAAAGGUUGUCAACGACCACAUCACUUCCUUCACCUCUGCCGUUUGCCUGCUGUUUGGGAGUUUCUAUUGCUUCAACAUACACUACCCAGUGGAACUACGAUCAACACUAGAGUUUCUCCAAAGGUGUUUCUUCUCAAUAAAUCCUGAGAGAGGCACCAAGGUCGAGUGGAAUAAAAAAAAGAAAGUACUCUCAGUCAAUCCUAGAGUCCUCACUCUGAUUGCAGACCUCGCAGACCAUGAGUGGAGAUAGACACACCCUAUUAACCCUUUAGGGACAAGUGGUUAAGGUAUGAGUGGUUAAUGUGUGUUCAGGUAUACUGGAUGUUCAAGUAUACAAUAUGUUAUGGUACACUGUACCUAUUUUGUUUUUAAAAUUGUACCACAAGGUAAAUUGAAAUCCAGUGUUAACUUUUUGUUGGAAAAUGUCUGGUGGUUUCUAAAGGUACGUGUUUAGCUUCACUGAGAGCGAUCAGUGGAUUUGUGCUAAUUAAUCCAGAAAUGUCUUUGAUGGCACUUUUUUUCGUUUACAGUCUUUAAGGUAAUUGUUUUGUGAAUUCUAUAGUUUGUACAAUUUCAAACCAAUGCUGUUUACAACUUCACAGAAGUGGAAUAACUUUCCUAUAUUUCAAAAUGUAAGAAGAACAUGUUUUUUGUGGCCAAUUGGUCGUUCAGGUUUAUUGAGUAGAAUAAGUGUUGAAAAUAUUGUAGUCCCAUGUAAAUCACGUUUAUGUGAGUCACUCUUUCAGAGAGUCAUAGUUGAUUAUUUGUCUGCCAGUGGAUUAUUAAAUGCAAUUUACAGUUCACUGUAACACAGCUGCUGACUGUUUGCGGAGUUACACAUAAUACAGCCUGACUCAAUCUAUUGAGUCAAUACUCAAGCUGUUAUAUGGAGUUUUGUCAAUAAAUAUGUACGAAAAAACCUAAAAAAAACUUGUCAUAUGCUGUUGAGGCUUUUUGUUAUACAGAAGUGGGUAUGGUUGCCAGGAAAGGGGUAAAUAAAGUUUAGGUAAAUGUUGAUGCUAUAAAAACAGCUAUGGCCAUUUUCUAUCAAGAUAUUUUUUGGGCUUUUAACCUUCAUUUGAGAGAGACAGCCUAAGACUGACAGGAAGGUGCGGGAAUGACAUACAACCACAAACAAGAGACCUUGAGCAUUUAGAGCAGGGGUCCCCAAACUUUUUCCUGUGAGGGCCACAUAACCUUUCCCUUCUCUGAUGGCGGGCCGGUGGCAGUUUGUAACAGAAAAAGUGUGACGAUCGUAGGGGAGCUUAAAAAAAUUUUUUUUUUUUUAUUUUCCAGAAAGCCACACAUAACCAAAUAACAGUUAUUUAAUAACCCUUUCCAGGUUCUUUACAGAAAAAAAAGUCAGGAAACAAAUAAUAACACUAUUAAUGAAAUAAAUAAUAACUAAACCCUCUCUGAGUUCUUCACAGAAAAAACAGGAAAUAAAUAAUAACUAAAUAACUCUCUCUGGGUUCUUCAUAGAAAAAAAACCAUGGAACAUUAACUUUCUGUUGUGCCAUGCACAAUCUUAACAGAUAAAAGUUCAGCUCAGUUGUCAGAGCAGAACCUCUCUGACACAUAUGAGCAGUCUCUUAAAGUUCUUGUGUUCCUUCCUUAUAAUCCUUUUGUAGGUUCCAGUAGGCUUGUAGACACCGCUGUCUUUUUUGUUAAAGUUUGAUAGUGCGUCAUAGUCUGGAGUAAAAUUUGUUGUGGCAAUUCUUAGGCGAGAUCCGAGGUGUUGGUCCGUUUACCUCGAUCUGUGACGGGUAGAUGUUGACGUUCAUGUGGCUGAACGUCACGUCGCGUACGUCGAGCCAAAUUGGCAACUCUUUUAAACGCUCGGCACUGUGUUCACCCUGCUUUACUUGGGCGACAUUUUAACGGAAGGAUUCCAGGGGAAGGUUUGUGGGUGGCUUUAGCGCAAAACUGCAUCUGAAAGCUCAGCGCGCAAAUUACAAGAAUGCUGUCGUCACAGCCCACGCUCUAAAUUCGGGACUGAUACAAAUAGAGCGCGAGUGCGCCAUGUCCGUACACGCACUUGUGAGUGUGCACCGAGCUUUCUGACACGGCUUCCGGUAGUAAAUGCGCAGGCGAGCGCUUCCCCAUCUACUGGGGAAACGCAGUCAUUGCAGGCAAAAUGAGCAAAAAAAAAAAAAAAGUUUAAUAAUACAAUUUAUUCAGGGUUGGCGGGCCGGAUUAAACGGUCCUGCGGGCCGUAUCCGGCCCGCGGGCCGUAGUUUGGUGACCCCUGAUUUAGAGGAUGGGUGGUUAACAAUAAGGGAAUUUCUAAGCAAUUCACAUGAGAGAAGUGCUCCCCAUCCAGUCGCCAAAAACAAAAAUUUGUAUAGAUUUAUCCAGUUGUUUUUUAAACCAAAUCCCAAUAUUUAUCUGGUGUUUCCCAAAGUCUUCGUGUCUAAUUAGGCAUGUUAAAGUGAAUAAUUUUUUAUCCCUUUUCAACUGGUCAAAAAUGGUUACAUUUGUCAUGUCCUUCAUAUCUAAUCAUAUCGCAAUGUUCUAACGUUUUAUAUACUUUAAACUUGAAUUGGUGACUGGACAAUGUUUAUUACAUAUUUAUGAGUAAGAUAAUCUUCGGGUUCCUAAUUAUUACAUUAUAUAUACCAUUUCUGUAUGGAAUACUUUUUGACCUGUUAUCCCUCCCUAAAAAAAACACCUAAAAUGUUCAGUUAUUCAACUGUAUGGAGGGGUGGAGUGGAAUGCUAAGGAACUGAGCUGGUAAGUUGGCAACUUAUUUGGAAUAUAUACAUUAGAUCAGAUAUACAUCAGUCUCAAACCUCAAACUAUUGAUCUCCUUCCAAUAGGCCAAGCCAAACACCUCCAAAGGUCCUGAAAUUGAGUGGUGAUGUUAUUGUCAACAUGGUCCUCCUUCAACGUGGACCUGUUAAUGCAUUCAGUCACAACGUUUAUGAAUGAGAGUGAGAAAGAGAGACUGACAACACUCGUAGAUGAGAGAGGGGCAUGCAAAGUAUGGACUGAAGAGAGCCAACGACUACUACAUUCACCAUGACCCUGCACAUGCAACAAAAGUCCUAUUUCUUUUGGAGUACAGCCGCCGUACCCGAUCCCCUCCACCGGCCCGCCUUCCAUACAGCAUAGGACACCACCCCGCAACACAAAGCAGCAACCAACAAUACACGAUGCGCCGCGGACAAGGGCCCCGCGAGAUGUACCGCACACCGCCCUUCCAGCGGCAGAGAGAGGAGGGCGACGGGGUGACUGCUCUUGGCUCUCGGGUGAAUGUCUUUCUUUUGAUGGAAAAAAUGUGGGAUAAUGUUAAUCAUUAAAAGUUAAAUCAACAUUAAUAAAAUCUAAAUACUGAAAAAUUUCCACUGUAUUUAUCACAGUAAAAUUCUGGAAACCACAGCUGGCAGUUUUUUCUGGGGUGCGCAUUAUACAUGGGUACAAACAUUUUUUAUUAUUAUUUUUUUAAAUCCGGAUAUGAUACGGAGGCCGCCAUUACGGA